GACGAACGCUGGUGGCGUGCUUAACACAUGCAAGUCGAACGGAAAGGCACUGCUUUUGUGGGGUGCUCGAGUGGCGAACGGGUGCGUAACACGUGAGUAACCUGCCCUUGACUUUGGGAUAACUUCAGGAAACUGGGGCUAAUACAGGAUCGGAGCUCCUGCUGCAUGGUGGGGGUUGGAAAGUUUCGGCGGUUGGGGAUGGACUCGCGGCUUAUCAGCUUGUUGGUGGGGUAGUGGCUUACCAAGGCUUUGACGGGUCGCCGGCCUGAGAGGGUGACCGGCCACAUUAGGACUGAGAUACGGCCCAGACUCCUACGGGAGGCAGCAGGGGGGAAUAUUGCACAAUGGGCGGAAGCCUGAUGCAGCAACGCCGCGUGCGGGAUGACGGCCUUCGGGUUGUGAACCGCUUUCGCCUGUGACGAAGCGUGAGUGACGGUAAUGGGUAAAGAAGCACCGGCUAACUACGUG
rnacentral:rRNA from 1 species